GGGGGCCCGCAAGCGGUGGAGCAUGUGGCUUAAUUCGAUGCAACGCGAAGAACCUUACCAGGGCUUGACAUGGAUCUGCAAGCUACCGAAAAGUAGUCGCCUUCGAGGGUGAUUCACAGGUGGUGCAUGGCUGUCGUCAGCUCGUGUUGUGAAAUGUUGGGUUAAGUCCCGCAACGAGCGCAACCCUCAUGUUCUGUUACCAGCGAGUAAAGUCGGGGACUCGGAACAAACUGCCGCUGUAAAGCGGAGGAAGGUGGGGAUGACGUCAAGUCAUCAUGCCCCUUACGCCCUGGGCUGCACACAUGCUACAAUGGCCGGCACAAAGAGCUGCGAAACUGCGAAGUGGAGCAAAUCUCAAAAAACCGGUCCCAGUUCGGAUUGGAGUCUGCAACUCGACUCCAUGAAGUCGGAAUCGCUAGUAACCGCCGGUCAGCAAUACGGCGGUGAAUACGUUCCCGGGCCUUGCACACACC
rnacentral:rRNA from 1 species